UAGGAAGCAGGUACCCACGUGCCAUCUCCUCAUUGGAUUUACCCAUGUGGGUGAUAUAAAGAUGAACGAGGUCAGUGGCGGUAAGGCGUUGGAUGAGUCACCCAGCCCCAGAGCGCUUCAGAGUAUGUGUAGGUCCGUUACCCCUCCUGUACCCUCCAACGGCUUCUCAUGCCAUCUGCGGGGUGCCAUCUGGUUCACAGUGGAGAUCAGGCAAAACAGAACACGUUCAUCCUUUGCAGUGAGAAGAGCGAUUCCAGCCCCUGUGUGUGUGUGUUAUUAAACACACAGAAACCACUACAAACGUCCUCUAGAUGUGUUUGGUUGGAUCAUAAUGGUAUCAUCAGAUACUAAUAAGAACUCCACAUACGCAGUGUCCUGACUAUGUUUCUCAAACACUUGGUCUGUAAUGCAAGCAUAUGACAUUAUGACAAUUUCUGGUCUACAGUACCAUUGUACUCUCUCCCUUGGGGAUGCUGGGAAAGCAAUGAAUAGACUACACUAAUUAAAUCCAUUUGUUUCUAUAAUUAUCUCUGGUAAUUUUCUAAACCUGGGAAGAGCUACCCAACUGAUUUUUUUCCCAUUAGCUUUGCGCAAGGUCCUGAAGAAGACAAUGUG